CUUACACUUUUUUUUGCGUACUAAAUGCUAUACAUCACCAGAUGCCCAACAUGACAUCUGGACACGCAAAGUCUAAAGUGCCAUCAAAGUUGUUGGGACACGGUAAGGCCUUUCCCAAAUGCUCGUGUUGUGCAACCUCCAGGUACCCUCUGCUGUCAGGAUCCAUGUAUUGCUGCAAAGGUCAGUUAUGUAAUAUUUGUUUUUAAAAAGUGACAUCUUUAGAGUGGCC